CAGCCGCCGCGGUAAUACAGAGGGUGCAAGCGUUAAUCGGAAUUACUGGGCGUAAAGCGCGCGUAGGUGGUUUGUUAAGUUGGAUGUGAAAGCCCCGGGCUCAACCUGGGAACUGCAUCCAAAACUGGCAAGCUAGAGUACGGUAGAGGGUGGUGGAAUUUCCUGUGUAGCGGUGAAAUGCGUAGAUAUAGGAAGGAACACCAGUGGCGAAGGCGACCACCUGGACUGAUACUGACACUGAGGUGCGAAAGCGUGGGGAGCAAACAGGAUUAGAUACCCCGGUAGUCCAUGUCUCUUAUAC
rnacentral:rRNA from 1 species